GGUUUUUUAGCAUGUGUAAUGGCAUGAAUGUGUUGAAUUAGUAAUCCCUUGUGUUAAGCCGUUGUUUUAGUGUUCUUUUGGUGAGUUUGGCUUGUUGUUAUGAAAAGUGUUUGUUUUGGCGAGUUUGAACGUUUUUGAGCAUGUGUAACGGCAUGAAUGCGUCAAGUUGUUGUUUUAGUGUUCUUAUGAUGAGUUUGGCUUGUUGUUAUGAACAUUGUUCGUUUUGGCGAGUUUGAAGGUUUUUGAGCAUGUGUAAUGGCAUGAAUGUGUUGAAUUAGUAAUCCCUUGUGUUAAGCUGUUGUUUUAGUGUUCUUUUGACGAGUUUGGCUUGUUGUUAUGAAAAGUGUUUGUUUUGGCGAGUUUGAACGUUUUUGAGCAUGUGUAAUGGCAUGAAUGCGUUAAGCUGUUGUUUUAGUGUUUUUUUGAUGAGUUUGGCUUGUUGUUAUGAACAUAGUUCCUUUUGGCCAGUUUGAAGGUUUUUUAGCAUGUGUAAUGGCAUGAAUGUGUUGAAUUAGUAAUCCCUUGUGUUAAGCCGUUGUUUUAGUGUUCUUUUGAUGAGUUUGGCUUGUUGUUAUGAAAAGUGUUUGUUUUGGCGAGUUUGAACAUUUUUGAGCAUGUGUAAUGGCAUGAAUGCGUUAAGCUGUUGUUUUAGUGUUCUUUUGAUGAGUUUGGCUUGUUGUUAUGAAAAGUGUUUGUUUUGGCGAGUUUGAACGUUUUUGAGCAUGUGUAAUGGCAUGAGUGCGUUAAGCUGUUGUUUUUGUGUUCUUUUGAUGAGUUUGGCUUGUUGUUAUGAAAAGUGUUUGUUUUGGCGAGUUUGAACGUUUUUGAGCAUGUGUAAUGACAUGAAUGCGUUAAGCUGUUGUUUUAGUGUUUCUUUGAUGAGUUUGGCUUGUUGUUAUGAACAUAGUUCCUUUGGGCCAGUUUGAACGUUUUUUAGCAUGUGUAAUGGCAUGAAUGUGUUGAAUUAGUAAUCCCUUGUGUUAAGCCGUUGUUUUAGUGUUCUUUUGGUGAGUUUGGCUUGUUGUUAUGAAAAGUGUUUGUUUUGGCGAGUUUGAACGUUUUUGAGCAUGUGUAAUGGCAUGAAUGCGUUAAGCUGUUGUUUUAGUGUUCUUUUGAUGAGUUUGGCUUGUUGUUAUGAAAAGUGUUUGUUUUGGCGAGUUUGAACGUUUUUGAGCAUGUGUAACGGCAUGAAUGCGUUAAGCUGUUGUUUUAGUGUUCUUAUGAUGAGUUUGGCUUGUUGUUAUGAACAUUGUUCGUUUGGGCCAGUUUGAAGGUUUUUUGCAUGUGUAAUGGCAUGAAUGUGUUGAAUUAGUAAUCCCUUAUGUUAAGCUGUUGUUUUAGUGUUCUUUUGAUGAGUUUGGCUUGUUGUUAUGAAAAGUGUUUGUUUUGGCGAGUUUGAACGUUUUUGAGCAUGUGUAAUGGCAUGAAUGUGUUGAAUUAGUAAUCCCUUGUGUAAAGCUGUUGUUUUAAUGUUCUUUUGAUGAGUUUGGCUUGUUGUUAUGAAAAGUGUUUGUUUUGGCGAGUUUGAACGUUUUUGAGCAUGUGUAAUGGCAUGAAUGCGUUAAGCUGUUGUUUUAGUGUUCUUUUGACGAGUUUGGCUUGUUGUUAUGAAAAGUGUUUGUUUUGGCGAGUUUGAACGUUUUUGAGCAUGUGUAAUGGCAUGAAUGCGUUAAGCUGUUGUUUUAGUGUUCUUUUGAUGAGUUUGGCUUGUUGUUAUGAAAAGUGUUUGUUUUGGCGAGUUUAAACGUUUUUGAGCAUGUGUAAUGGCAUGAGUGCGUUAAGCUGUUGUUUUUGUGUUCUUUUGAUGAGUUUGGCUUGUUGUUAUGAAAAGUGUUUGUUUUGGCGAGUUUGAACGUUUUUGAGCAUGUGUAAUGGCAUGAAUGCGUUAAGCUGUUGUUUUAGUGUUCUUUUGAUGAGUUUGCCUUGUUGUUAUGAACAUAGUUCCUUUUGGCCAGUUUGAAGGUUUUUUAGCAUGUGUAAUGGCAUGAAUGUGUUGAAUUAGUAAUCCCUUGUGUUAAGCCGUUGUUUUAGUGUUCUUUUGAUGAGUUUGGCUUGUUGUUAUGAAAAGUGUUUGUUUUGGCGAGUUUGAACGUUUUUGAGCAUGUGUAAUGGCAUGAAUGCGUUAAGCUGUUGUUUUAGUGUUCUUUUGAUGAGUUUGGCUUGUUGUUAUGAAAAGUGUUUGUUUUGGCGAGUUUGAACGUUUUUGAGCAUGUGUAAUGGCAUGAGUGCGUUAAGCUGUUGUUUUAGUGUUCUUUUGAUGAGUUUGGCUUGUUGUUAUGAAAAGUGUUUGUUUUGGCGAGUUUGAACGUUUUUGAGCAUGUGUAAUGACAUGAAUGCGUUAAGCUGUUGUUUUAGUGUUUUUUUGAUGAGUUUGGCUUGUUGUUAUGAACAUAGUUCCUUUGGGCCAGUUUGAAGGUUUUUUAGCAUGUGUAAUGGCAUGAAUGUGUUGAAUUAGUAAUCCCUUGUGUUAAGCCGUUGUUUUAGUGUUCUUUUGGUGAGUUUGGCUUGUUGUUAUGAAAAGUGUUUGUUUUGGCGAGUUUGAACGUUUUUGAGCAUGUGUAAUGGCAUGAAUGCGUUAAGCUGUUGUUUUAGUGUUCUUAUGAUGAGUUUGGCUUGUUGUUAUGAACAUUGUUCGUUUGGGCCAGUUUGAAGGUUUUUUUGCAUGUGUAAUGGCAUGAAUGUGUUGAAUUAGUAAUCCCUUAUGUUAAGCUGUUGUUUUAGUGUUCUUUUGAUGAGUUUGGCUUGUUGUUAUGAAAAGUGUUUGUUUUGGCGAGUUUGAACGUUUUUGAAAAUGUGUAAUGGCAUGAAUGCGUUAAGCUGUUGUUUUAGUGUUCUUAUGAUGAGUUUGGCUUGUUGUUAUGAACAUUGUUCGUUUGGGCCAGUUUGAAGGUUUUUUUGCAUGUGUAAUGGCAUGAAUGUGUUGAAUUAGUAAUCCCUUAUGUUAAGCUGUUGUUUUAGUGUUCUUUUGAUGAGUUUGGCUUGUUGUUAUGAAAAGUGUUUGUUUUGGCGAGUUUGAACGUUUUUGAGCAUGUGUAAUGGCACGAAUGCGUUAAGCUGUUGUUUUAGUGUUCUUUUGAUGAGUUUGGCUUGUUGUUAUGAAAAGUGUUUGUUUUGGCGAGUUUGAACGUUUUUGAGCAUGUGUAAUGGCAUGAGUGCGUUAAGCUGUUGUUUUAGUGUUCUUUUGAUGAGUUUGGCUUGUUGUUAUGAAAAGUGUUUGUUUUGGCGAGUUUGAACGUUUUUGAGCAUGUGUAAUGACAUGAAUGCGUUAAGCUGUUGUUUUAGUGUUUUUUUGAUGAGUUUGGCUUGUUGUUAUGAACAUAGUUCCUUUGGGCCAGUUUGAAGGUUUUUUAGCAUGUGUAAUGGCAUGAAUGUGUUGAAUUAGUAAUCCCUUGUGUUAAGCCGUUGUUUUAGUGUUCUUUUGGUGAGUUUGGCUUGUUGUUAUGAAAAGUGUUUGUUUUGGCGAGUUUGAACGUUUUUGAGCAUGUGUAAUGGCAUGAAUGCGUUAAGCUGUUGUUUUAGUGUUCUUAUGAUGAGUUUGGCUUGUUGUUAUGAACAUUGUUCGUUUGGGCCAGUUUGAAGGUUUUUUUGCAUGUGUAAUGGCAUGAAUGUGUUGAAUUAGUAAUCCCUUAUGUUAAGCUGUUGUUUUAGUGUUCUUUUGAUGAGUUUGGCUUGUUGUUAUGAAAAGUGUUUGUUUUGGCGAGUUUGAACGUUUUUGAGCAUGUGUAAUGGCAUGAAUGUGUUGAAUUAGUAAUCCCUUGUUUAAAGCUGUUGUUUUAAUGUUCUUUUGAUGAGUUUGGCUUGUUGUUAUGAAAAGUGUUUGUUUUGGCGAGUUUGAACGUUUUUGAGCAUGUGUAAUGGCAUGAAUGCGUUAAGCUGUUGUUUUAGUGUUCUUUUGACGAGUUUGGCUUGUUGUUAUGAAAAGUGUUUGUUUUGGCGAGUUUGAACGUUUUUGAGCAUGUGUAAUGGCAUGAAUGCGUUAAGCUGUUGUUUUAGUGUUCUUUUGAUGAGUUUGGCUUGUUGUUAUGAACAUUGUUCGUUUUGGCCAGUUUGAAGGUUUUUUAGCAUAUGUAAUGGCAUGAAUGUGUUGAAUUAGUAAUCCCUUGUGUUAAGCCGUUGUUUUAGUGUUCUUUUGAUGAGUUUGGCUUGUUGUUAUGAAAAGUGUUUGUUUUGGCGAGUUUGAACGUUUUUGUGCAUGUGUAAUGGCAUGAAUCCGUUAAGCUGUUGUUUUAGUGUUAUUUUGAUGACUUUGGCUUGUUGUUAUGCACAUUGUUUAUUUUAGAGAGUUUGAAGGUUUUUGAGCAUGAGUUAUGGCAUGUAUGUGUUGAAUUAGUAAUCCCUUGUGUUUAGUUGUUGUUGUAGUGUUCUUUUAAAGAGUUUGGCUUCUUGUUAUGAUCAUUGUUUGUUUUGGCGAGUUUGAAGGUUUUUGAGCAUGUUUUAUGGCAUGCAUCUGUUGAGUUUUUUACCCCCUGUGUUUAGCUGUUGUUUAAGUGUUAUUUUGAUGUGUUGGCUUGUUGUUAUGAUCGUAGUUUGUACUGGCGAGUUUGAAGGUUUGUGCGCAUGGUUUAUGGCUCGUAUGUGUUGAAUUUGCUACCCCUUGUGCUAAAUUGUAUUUUAAGUGUUCUUUUAAAGAGUUUG